UACAGAGGGGGCAAGCGUUAUUCGGAAUUAUUGGGCGUAAAGGGCGCGUAGGCGGCGUCUCAAGUGGAUGGUGAAAUCCCCGGGCUUAACCUGGGAACUGCCGUCCAAACUGAGAGGCUUGAGUCCGGGAGAGGUAAGUGGAAUUCCCAGUGUAGCGGUGAAAUGCGUAGAUAUUGGGAGGAACACCGGUGGCGAAGGCGGUUCUCUGGGCAUUACCUGACGCUGAGGAGCGAAAGUGUGGGGAGCGAACAGG
rnacentral:rRNA from 1 species